UAGUUUCUGAAUUGAAUUUAUAUAAUAGUUGGUGCCUGCUACGUGUGAUGUUCCUAUCUAUGUAGCUUCUUAUUUUUUUACGUUUCAUUCAUCAUUCAUCUCCUCACCGCCUCCCAUGCCCAAUCACAUACGGUUGUUUCCGCCGCUUUCAAUUUCUUACUGGGUUACAUGGUGAGUGGUAUUGGCUUCUACCUUCUCCAAAGUCUAAACCACCGACUCACCGCAUUCCAGACCACCGUCUCCACGUUUCUAAUUUGUCGCCUUCAGGACGCCUCCACUGUAUUGGGUGGGUUUCGGUCUAUCUUUUCCCUCUAGACUCCGUCGUCUUCUUCAGGUAUAUGAUUUUGAUAAUUUUUUUUUUUGUUUUGAUUUCCUGUCUUCUUCGUCUUUUGUCUUCUGUGUUUUUUUAGGGUUUGUUGUAUUAUGUUGAUUCGUCAUACUCUACACUCUAUUCUACCCUAAUUCGUCAUCUGUGGUGUUCGUAGCUGUUAACAGUCAAACGAUAGCAGUAGAACUGUUACAUGCCGAUUAGGUUAUUCUGCGGUGCUGCAUAUUUAAUGUCUCUCUAUUUUAGGGCUUUCCGAGAGGAACCCGGGUAAGUAUUUACAGACGAAGUGAGCAGGAGGGAAACCAUUUACCGACGACAUACCAACUGCAGGAGAUGAGGUAGGGCCGACUUAAGAAUCGUCGUCGACUGGGGAAAAUUGAUGGGUUACCAUCGUCGGAGCCGCCGUCUUCGUCCAUAACCACCACUAAAGAUCUGUGAUCGAUAACUUCAAUAGAAGAUUUCCGAUUGUGUCUUUGUUGUAGGCAUGAACUAAUUCGAACAUGUAUGCUCUGUUUUUUUAUCAGUGUACAGGUUAGGUUACCACCAUUUUUGCUACUUUUUGGACCAUCUCUUCUCUCCUUCUGAACACUGGCUUAGACUACAUGGACUCUCCAGUUUAAUGGACUAUUGUUGUUUUUAGAAAAUUCUUGAAAAAGUUUGAUUGUUAUCUUCCUCUUCUUGAAAUAGUGUAUGUCGGAUUAGAGAAAAUAAUUGGGAAUUUAAGUGAUGUUGAAGAGUCUCUAAUGAAAAUGGAGUUAUUUCUAAUCAUGAAAACAGAAGGGGUUCAACUUAGUGACAUGGUGGUUCAACAUUCUGCAUAUUCUGAAGAGCUCAGGGGAGUUUUUGAUAAAAUGCAGAAUGAGAUUAUGAUGUAGGUGAAUGAUAUAGGAGACACAAAAUUCGCAUAAACAGGGAUAUCUUCACCCCGAUAACCGAGAAAGAACUUGAUGAUGAAUCCUAGGAAGGGUUUUUUAGUGAAAGAUUAGGAGUUGAAGAUGAAAUUCUUGGCUGAUAAAUUGGAUUUCUUGGGUUCGAAUCGCAAGUAGGAAGUUUACACACGCCAACUGUUUGAUAUAAUGUUUGUGUGAAGGUUGGACUUCUUUAUCAAAAUUUAGACGGGUGUAAAUGUGAGGGAGAUGUUUAUUUGAGAUAUGUUUGAUGCCUAUUGGAAGACCAUCAACAACCAGAAACGAAAACAAUGCAAGACAACAAAACAUAAGUACUUUUUGCAAACAAAUGAUCAGAUUUGAGAUUUGGUGUUUUCAGGGACGGCUCAACCAAUUUGGGGGCUCUAAGCAAACAAAAAAAUUAGGGCCCUUUGGGUAAGCAAAUAGAUUCGAAUCUAAGACCCUUGGUUUGCUAAACCAACAUUUUACCACCAGAUCAAGCUCCAACUUGUCUUUGUAACCCAAAAAAUAUGUAUAUAUACAUAUAUAAUUUGAUGGGGUUUAGCCAAAAGAACAUCCUAUGUGCUCAUCCAAACCCUAAUGCUUGGAUCUAGGUUUCUCUAUUGUACAUGUAAUUCAUCCAAGACUUACUAACCCUAGAUCUAGUGUAUAUAAUCGAAAUUAUCAUGAUAAACAGAUCUAGAUGUUUACCUUGUUGAUGAUUGAAGA